AGUAUCCUCAGAUGAGGAUUAACAGCAAAAACAAAGUUAAAUUACAAAACUGAUGAGUGCUAUGAAAGAAACAAAUAGUGAUGGAAGGGCUGAGUGCAAUGGGCCCGCCAGGGGAGGGACUGUCCUGGAGAGGGAGUCACGAAGCGGGGGCAAGAGUGGGUGGGGAGCUCUGAUUAUAGCGGUUGCUAUCAUGAUCUAGGGGAUUUUGACAAUGGGCUUUGACUAGCUGCUCCAACCCAGCUUGGUUCAGAAAUGAAAUGGUGCUAGUCAUAAGAGGGGCCAGGCAGGCACCCUAACACAAUUGGGAGUAAGAGAAAGGGUCCAGCUGAUGGGCCCUGAGGGGAUGCAGGCUCAGGUAGCCAGAUGUUCCUGUUCUUUCUACCUGUUGGCAUGUGAGCUUCCUUUAUUCUCCUCUUCCCCUCACUUCCUUUAUAGGUUUUUUUUCCUCCUUUCUUUUCUCUCAUUCUUUUCUGCUCUGUGCUGGCCAUUGGCUCAUCAUAGAUGAGCAAGACAUACUUCUCUCCCUCCAGGAUCUUAUGGACUGGUAGGGACCUCACUCAAGACUCAGUUUUGUGCCCAGAAUCUGGUAGGGGUUUCCAACAGCCCACAACAAGCCCGUGAGACAGAGGAGCGGGUAGGCGGGGAGUAGCUUCUCCGACACUUCGAGGACAAGCAGGGACCGAGAGCAAGAGUGUCUGGUAAAGACAGUGCAUGGCCUAGCAAAGGUGGGGAGGUGCUCAGGUGUGUCUUGGGCAAAGGUGCCCCGGGUGCGGUUUGGGAGCACCUGGUUUUGCAGGCCCCACAGGAGUUUAGCUUUAUGCAGAGAUGACCAGGACCAAUGCAGGAUUUAGGACAGAGGAAUGACAUGGUCAGAUCUUAGUUUAGAAACAUCCUUCUGACUACCAUCUGGCCUUGGGGAGACAAGUGGGGAGGUUGCAGUCAGCCAGGCAGGUGAUUGGUGGUGUCCUGGGCUGGGGGAGUCAGCAGGAGGUGGAGAGGAAGAGGAACACAGCUGAUGUUUCACUCACCUGAGCAUUCGCUGUCUGCCAGGCCCUGUUCUAAGCACAAUAGGUAGGUGUGACCCUCAUGUAACCUCCAAACAACUCUUGGAGAUACUAUUAUUACCUUCAUUUUACAAGUAAGGAGUGGGAGAGGGGAAGAGCUUGCUGAUGGGUGAGAGAGGAGGAAACAAGGGAUCUGGGGGUUCCAGUCUCUGGCUCCAUAAGGUCAGAGUGCCACCCAUGAGACCCCAGCCACAGAAGAGGAUGGCUGAGGGGUGGGGAAGAGGAAUUUGGUUUGGACAUGUCGCCUGGGGCCAUCCAAGCAGAGUUGUUCCCUGCAGAGUUGGACAUUUAUUCGGGUUUGAGACUCCUGGAGAAGAUGAGCUGAAAGUGGAGAUUUGAGGAUCAUGGCACAGCUGUAGUGCUUGAAGCCAUAGGCAUGGACAAGCUCGCCAGGGAGCAUGUGAUGAGUGAGGAGAGAUGCCCGGUGGAAGGGCUGAUGAGGCAAAGCAGUGGCAAAGGAGCACCAGGGCAGCCAGGAAUCUGGGGGCGGGAGGGAGGGGGGGAGCAGAGAGCCUUGGGCAGGGCUGGGCAUGGGCGAUGGAUACCCAUAACAUUUCACUGCAGAGACUAGGUUAAGGAGUAUCCACUAAGCACAGAGAACAGGCCUGCUGGAGCAGUUUUUACCCAAUGGGUGACAGGGGCAGCAGCUGGGAAGAUCAAUGGGAGGUGAAGAAGCAGGACCCGGGUGGGCCCGAGCUUUCCACAGCUUGACUGUGAGGUGCAGGAGAAAUCUGAGUGAAGGUAGCUGAGGAUUCAGUGUGAGAAAUGAAGUGUGGCUUUUAGCAUGUCCUAAAUUUUCCCAUUUACAGCCUUGAUUUUAAUUAAUCUACAGAGCUUCAGUAACUGAAUCCUACCAAGAACUUACUACCAUAAACCUCAGCUAUCCAGAAUUUUCAGAAAGAGAGCCACUCUGGAAAACCAACGUUUAUCUGGAUAAAAAUACUUGACUUACAGGAUUACUUACUUUUUUAAAUGUGCUCAUUAUGGAAAUUAUCAAACAUAAAAGUCAAGGGAAGAAUAUAAUGAACCCACCAUCCAACCUGAAGAGUUAUCAAUUCAAGGUCAAAUGCUGUGCCAUCCACACACCCCACAUCUGGGGUAUUUAAAAGCAGAUCCUAGACACUAUAUCGAUUCCUCCAGAAAGCUUUAAUACAUUUCUCCAAAAGAAGACUUUUAAAAAUAUAACCACAAUACUUUUAUUACUCCAAAAAAUUAAUAAUUUUUUAAUUCAGUAUCCAUUGUCCAAAUCUCCCCAAUUGUCUCACUCCCCCCACGCCCUUGUUAGUUGGUUAAAAUUAGGCUUCGAACAAGGUUUACAUACUGCA